CAGAAGAUAAUUUAAGUAAAAUCUAGACUUUGGAAGUUUAAAAUAACAUUGUGUUUCUUCUGA
rnacentral:tRNA from 1 species